rnacentral:rRNA from 1 species
UACGUAGGCAGCGAGCGUUGUUCGGAAUCACUGGGCGUAAAGGGCGCGUAGGCGGCGCGGGGAGUCAACGGUGAAAGCUCGGCGCUCAACGCCGAGUCGGCCGUCGAUACUCCCGUGCUCGAGCACUGUAGAGGCAGGUGGAAUUCCGGGUGUAGCGGUGGAAUGCGUAGAGAUCCGGAAGAACACCGGUGGCGAAGGCGGCCUGCUGGGCAGUAGCUGACGCUGAGGCGCGACAGCGUGGGGAGCAAACAGG